GGGGAAUCUUGCACAAUGGGGGCAACCCUGAUGCAGCGACGCCGCGUGAGCGAUGAAGCCCUUCGGGGCGUAAAGCUCUUUCGACCGGAACGAUAAUGACGGUACCGGGAGAAGAAGCUGCGGCUAACUACGUGCCAGCAGCCGCGGUAAUACGUAGGCAGCAAGCGUUGUUCGGGGUUACUGGGCGUAAAGAGUGCGUAGGCGGUCUCCUAAGUUCGGUGUGAAACCUCCCGGCUUAACUGGGAGGGUGCGCCUAAGACUGGGAAGCUGGAGUGUGGGAGAGGCAGGCGGAAUUCCUGGUGUAGCGGUGAAAUGCGUAGAUAUCAGGAGGAACACCGGCGGUGUAGACGGCUUGCUAGACCAUAACUGACGCUGAGGCACGAAAGCGUGGGUAGCAAACA
rnacentral:rRNA from 1 species